rnacentral:rRNA from 1 species
GACGAACGCUGGCGGCGUGCCUAAUACAUGCAAGUCGAACGCAGUGGGGACGGGUGAGUAACACGUGGGUAACCUCCCCAUCAGAGGGGAUAACACUUGGAAACAGGUGCUAAACCGAUACUGAUGGAUGGACCCGCGGUGCAUUAGCUAGUUGGUGAUGUAACGGCUCACCAAGGCCACGAGGCAUAGCCUACCUGAGAGGGUGAUCGGCCACACGGGGACUAAGAAACGGCCCCUACUCCUACGGGAGGCAGCAGUAGGGAAUCUGCGGCAAUGGACGAAAGUCUGACCGAGAAACGCCGCGUGAGUGAAGAGGGUUUUCGGAUCGUAAAAUUCUGUUUUUAGAGAAGCGUUACCUAACCAGAAAGCCACGGCUAACUACGUGCCAGCAGCCGCGGUAAUAC